rnacentral:rRNA from 1 species
GACGAACGCUGGCGGCGUGCCUAAUACAUGCAAGUAGAACGCUGAAGGAGGAGCUUGCUCUUCUGGAUGAGUUGCGAACGGGUGAGUAACGCGUAGGUAACCUGCCUGGUAGCGGGGGAUAACUAUUGGAAACGAUAGCUAAUACCGCAUAAAAUUGAUUAUUGCAUGAUAGUCAAUUAAAAGGUGCAAUUGCAUCACUACCAGAUGGACCUGCGUUGUAUUAGCUAGUUGGUGAGGUAACGGCUCACCAAGGCAACGAUACAUAGCCGACCUGAGAGGGGGGUCGGCCAAACUGGGACUGAGACACGGCCCAGACUCCUACGGGAGGCAGCAGUAGGGAAUCUUCGGAAAUGGACGGAAGGCUGACCGAGCAACGCCGCGGGAGUGAAGAAGGGUUUCGGAUCGUAAAGCUCUGUUGUAAGGGAAGAACGAGUGUGAGAGUGGAAAGUUCACACUGUGACGGUAUCUUACCAGAAAGGGACGGCUAACUACGUG